rnacentral:lncRNA from 1 species
AAUAUAAAUAGUAUGUAUUUAGGAGAGGGUAGGUAGGUGUGAGAGUCUAAGGGUAAGGGAGAAAACUUGUUUGGAUCAGAAUGAUUAUGAUAAUGAGCCUCAUAAUUUAAAGUGUGACUACAGCAUCUUGACAAAAUAGGAAUCUGAUAGCAUUUAUUAGUCCAUCAAUUAAAACAGUAAUUCACAAAGUAUGGUCCAGGGACUCUUGAGGGUUCAAUAGGUCAAAACUAUUUAAGUCACCAAAUACUACUAAGACAUUAUUUGAUGUUUUACCCUCAUUCUCUUGAGUUUAAGGUGUAAUUUUCCAAACACUAUAUGAUGUACAAUAUCACAAAAAACUAAAGUGCAGAAACAGAUAUAACAGCAAUAUUAAGCCAAACAUUAAAAAGAUGUGUGGAAAGGUAAAACAAUGCCACUCUCCUCACCAAUUUCUUUUUUGCAUUGAAAAAU